rnacentral:lncRNA from 1 species
UGCUUUUUCUGAUUGAUUGAGGUGAUCAUAUAGUUUUUCCCCCUUAUCAUUCUUUUAAUGUAGUGUAUUACAUUAAUUGAUUUUCUUAUGUUGAACUCUCCUCGCAUUCCAGGAAUAAAUUCUAAUUGGUCAUGGUGUAUAAUCCUUUUGAUAUGCCGUUGAAUUAUGUUUGCUAGUGUUUCAUUAAGGAUUUUUGCAUCCAUAUUCAUAAAGAAUAUUGGUCUGUAGUUUUCUUUUCUUGUGUUUUUAUUGACUUCAAUACCAAGGCAAUGCUGGCCUCAUAGAAUGAGAUUGAAAAUGUUCCUUUCUCUUCAGUGUCUUGGAAGGGUUUGAGAUGAAUCGGUGUCAGUUCUUUAAAAGUUUGGUGAAAUUAACCUGUGAAUUUUUAGGCCCAGGGCAUUUGUCGGGAGGAUUUUGAUUACUGAUUUAAUCUCUUUACUACUUACAGAUCUGUUCAGAUUUUCUCUUUCAUUAUGAUUCAUUUCUGGUAGAUUGUGUGUUUCUGGGAAUUUGUUCAUUUCAUCAGGGUUAUCUGAUUUGCCGACAUAUGAUUGUUCAUAGUACAUUUGUUCUCUUAUAAUCCUCUUUAUUUCUAUAGACUUGGUAGUAAUGCCCCUACUUAUAUUUCAUAUUUUAGUAAUUUGAGUCUUCUCUCUUUUUUAGUCAAUUUAAUUUCUCAACUUUGUUAAUCUUUUUAAAAGUCAGCUUUUGGUUUCAUUGAUUUUUCUCUAUUGUUUUUCUGUUCUUGAUUUUAUCUUUGCUAUAACUUUUAUUUAUUUCCUUUCUUCUGCUACCAUUUGAUUUAGUUUUUUUUUCUUUCUCUAGUUGCUUGAGUUGUAAAGGUAGAUUGUUAAUUUGAUAUUUUCCUUGAUUUUAGUGUAAGUGUUCAGAGUACAAAAUUUUCUCUUAUUGGGAUGCUUUUGUUGCAUCCCAUAGAUUUUAGUAUGUUAUAUUUUCAUUUUUGUCAUCUCUAAGUAUUUUUAUUUUUUAAUUAAUUUUUUUUAACAUUUUAAAAAUUAUAGUUGAGUUACAGUGUUGUGCCAAUUUUUGCUGUACAGUAAAGUGACCCAGUCAUACAUACAUAUACAUUCUUUUUUUUUUUUUUUNUUGCCUUUUUAGGACCACACCCACAGCAUGUGGAAGUUCACAGGCUAAGGAUCGAAUCGGAGCUACAACUGCAGACCUACACCACAGCCACAGCAAUGCUGGAUCCUUGCCGCAUCUGCAGCCUACACCACAGCUCAUGGCAGCACUGGAUCUUUUAACCCACUGAGAGAGGCCAGGGGAUCAAAUCCAAGUCCUUAUGGAUACUAGAUGGGUUUGUUGCCACUGAGCCACAAUGGGAACUCCACAUUACUUUUUUUAUAUUGUCUUCCAGGAGAUUGGAUAUAGUUCCCUGUGGUAUACAGCAGGACCGCAUUGCUUAUCCAUUCUAAAUGUAAUAAUUUUGCAUUUACUAACCCCAGACUCCCAGUCCACUCCAGUCCUUCCCUUGGCAACCACAAGUUUGUUCUGUAUGUCUGGGAGUCUCUUUCAAAAAUACGGAAUGCUUCACGAAUUUGCAUAUCAUCCUUGUGCAGAGGCCAGACUAAUCUCUGUAUUGUUCCAAUUUCAGUAUAUGUGCUGCUCAUCUCUAAGUAUUUUAAAAUUUCCAUUACAAUUUCUUCUUUGAUCCAUGGCAUCUUUAAGUAUCUAUUGUUUAAUUUGCCACAAAUUUGUGUAUUUUCAGAUUUCCCUUCGGUUAUUGAUUUCUAACUUCAUUCUGUUAUGGUCAGAGGGGAUACUUUGUAUAAUAUCUGUCUUUUAAAAAUCUAUCAAUAUUUGAUUUGUGGCCUCAUGUAUGAUCUCUCCUAGAGAAUGUCCCAUGUGUACUUGAGAAGAAUUUGUAUUCUACUGUUGUCGGGUGGAGUGUUCUGUAUAUGUCUCUUAGAUCUAGUUUUCUUUUGGUUUGUUUCACAAUAUAGUGAUCAUACUACAUAUACACACAAGUGGUGUGUGUGGUGUGUGUGUGUGUAUGUGUGUGUAUGUUACAUGUAUGAACAUAAAGGAAAGUAUGGAAAGCUACCUUGGUUAUCUCGUGGAAAUAACACCAGAUGAGAGGGAGGGGUGAGAUUAUUAACUCCAUUUCAGAAGUGUGUUCCUAGCCAAAGUGCUAGUGAAACUGAGGGACUCUAGAUUGGGUUGUAUAUGCUGACUAUCUUAAUCAUGGCCUUAGGACCAAAUGAAUAGUGAGGACUAGUUUUUUCCACUAAUUCUCUACACAGAGCCCUUGCAAAAAUUGUGAUUUGCCACUACCUGGAAGAAGGCUCCGUGAUGAACUGGACUUAGGAGGACCUGAGUGGCUCUAGUGAACACUAGACACUUCUGGUGCAACAUUGGAGAAUCCUUUUAACCCCAUCUCCUUUUUCAAUUGUGGCUGUGGUGACAGUUCAUGCAAACUUUGACAGGCUUUGUGCAGAUCAGAGAGUGCUUCCCUGGCUGCUUGUGCUUUAUGACUUGUGACUCCUCUGAGGCUCACAGGCUUACCUUGGCAGGAACCUACUGAGUGGUCAUGCAUGUGCAACUAGGAAUUUGGAGGGACUAAGGACCCAUGAGGCCACUUUUCAUGAAUGGGGAAUAGUAGCCAAUACAUAAAUGCUUCUCUUCUGACCCAUGGGGAGAUAGUUCUGAUUAUAGGUCAAAAGUGUCAAAAAAGUAUCAAUCAGGAAAAAACUCUGGAGUUCCCAUCGUGGCUCAGUAGUUAACAAAUCCGACUAGGAACCAUGAGGUUGUGGGUUCGAUCCCUGGCCUCACUCAGUGGGUUAAGGAUCUGACGUUGCCAUGAGCUGUGGUUUAGGUCGCAGACGCAGCUCGGAUCUGGUGUUGCUGUGGCUGUGGCA